rnacentral:rRNA from 1 species
AGUGAACGUUGGCGGCGUGGAUUAGGCAUGCAAGUCGUGCGGAAAGGCCCCGCAAGGGGUACUCGAGCGGCGAAAGGGAUAGUAACACGUGGGUAACCUACCCCCGGGACUGGGAUAGCUGUGGGAAACUGCAGGUAAUACCGGAUAACGUCUUUGGACCAAAGGUGUGAUUCCGCCUGGGGAGGGGCCCGCGUCCUAUUAGCUAGUUGGCAGGGUGACGGCCUACCAAGGCAAAGAUGGGUAGGGGUGUGAGAGCAUGGCCCCCAUCACUGGGACUGAGAUACUGCCCAGACACCUACGGUGGCUG